rnacentral:lncRNA from 11 species
CAUACACCAGAGGUCUUGAUUUUUCUAUGUUUGACUUUCUUUCUUUAGCCUGCAGCUCUCACAUUCAGUACCCCAUGGAUUUUGACUACAUCUAAGAGUUAGUGAGACCGACUGCUUUGCCAAACCUGACUCAUCAAUUUGAGUGUCGGGUUAUCUCACAUUCAUCUUGAAAGAGAACCAUUAAAGGAGUGACUUGAGAAGUUGCUUCUGGUGUGAGAGAAUUGGACGUCUGCAAGGAUGUUGUUCAGGGGAUGCUCGGUUGUUUGGCGUUUUUACCAUUCUUGUGGGAGGCUUCUCUUAUGUCCCCGCAUGGGGGGCUGGAGCUGAAAGAGGGAGCUCAUCCACGCUCUCCCUGAAUCCAAACCAGCAACCUUCAGGUCAGCAACUCAACCUUCAAGUCAGCAGUCCUGCUGGCACAAGGGUUUAACCCAUUGUGCCACCGGGGGCUUCACGCUCAAUAAAAUAAAGAAUGUAGUUUAAACUAUCAGGAUUGUCCCUGUCAUAUGAGACAAGUGAAACAUGUGAGAAAGAUGUAGUAAACACAUAAACACACACACACACACACACACACACACACACACACACACAUAUAUAUAUAUAUAAAAAAGUAUGGGUCAUGAUAUUAA